GAUGAACGCUGGCGGCGUGCCUAAUACAUGCAAGUCGAGCGAACAGACGAGGAGCUUGCUCCUCUGACGUUAGCGGCGGACGGGUGAGUAACACGUGGAUAACCUACCUAUAAGACUGGGAUAACUUCGGGAAACCGGAGCUAAUACCGGAUAAUAUAUUGAACCGCAUGGUUCAAUAGUGAAAGACGGUUUUGCUGUCACUUAUAGAUGGAUCCGCGCCGCAUUAGCUAGUUGGUAAGGUAUCGGCUUACCAAGGCAACGAUGCGUAGCCGACCUGAGAGGGUGAUCGGCCACACUGGAACUGAGACACGGUCCAGACUCCUACGGGAGGCAGCAGUAGGGAAUCUUCCGCAAUGGGCGAAAGCUUGACGGAGCAACGCCGCGUGAGUGAUGAAGGUCUUCGGAUCGUAAAACUCUGUUAUUAGGGAAGAACAAAUGUGUAAGUAACUAUGCACGUCUUGACGGUACCUAAUCAGAAAGCCACGGCUAACUACGUG
rnacentral:rRNA from 1 species